CUAUCUUUGGUUAUGUUACCAUGGCCUUAGCCUCAUUUACGAACCAGAUUCCAUUGCAGAAAUCAGAGGGGUUGGAAUAUAUUGAUGUAUUGAUAAAAGUCACCUUGUCAGAGGGAGAUUUACAUGGUUAUCAAAACAUCAUGCCAGGGUAAGCCUACACGAAACACAGCCCUUAAUUUAAGUGUUUCUAAAAUCCCCUACAGGGAAAAUGAAUGGUGGAAGCACCAUUGGAACCAUUUCCCUGUUUGACCACUAGGUUUUAUGAGUAUUCUGGCACCUCCACUGUGGGGCUCUAUGUGCAACAACUUCCUGGAUAGAAAGCAAGGUGUCACAUAAGACACAGUACCCCUUCUACAAGGAUUCUUGAAAUGGAACAUCCAAUCAAAAUCUUGUCGCUGGGAGGCAGUGGACCAUUCAAACUGUUUUUGCAAUACAAAUUCUGACAAAAGACAAAGACGUGAUUUUGGAGGUAUGUCAACGCGAGACUACCCUGGCCUCUGCUUUCGCUGCUUUUUCUCCAGUUGCCAGUUUUGGCACAUUCAUUCCAGCAACAUAGCUUCCUCAAUCCACUGCUGUUUUGCCUCUGAAGCUAAGCAUGGUUGGGCCUAGUCUGUCCCUGAACGAGAGACCAGAUGUAGCUGGAAGUAAAAAUGUCACAUUUCCACCAAUGCUGCCGGCCGACCUAGUGGAAACAGUUAAACCAGCAGAAACUAUGACUAUGACCUUCGACUGAGAACCCUCAAUGACUCACUGCACGGAAGCCUGCCAGUCACCUGCACUUGAUGGUCUAAUGACAAUAAAGCCCGACCUCCACCUACCGAGUCCCCUAACAACCAGAAGCGUCAAGACCAGUAUAACCUACCAGCGCCUUCAAGCUCCUUCUAGGACCUUCCCAGCAAGGAGGCUAAUAGAGCCCACUGAGCUUCUCUACCCU
rnacentral:lncRNA from 13 species